GACGAACGCUGGCGGCGUGCCUAAUACAUGCAAGUCGAGCGGACGGAUGGGAGCUUGCUCCCAGACCGUCAGCCGCGGACCGGUGAGUAACACGUUGGCAACCUGCCUGUAAUACUGGGAUAACUCCGGGAAACCGGGGCUAAUACCUGAUGACUCUUUCCCUCACAUGAGGGAAAGCUGAAAUAUGGCAUCUCGCUAUCACUUACAGAUGUGCCCGCGUCGCAUUAGCUAGUUGGUGAGGUAACGGCUCACCAAGGCGACGAUGCGUAGCCGACCUGAGAGGGUGAUCAGCCACACUGGGACUGAGACACGGUCCAGACUCCUACGGGAGGCAGCAGUAGGGAAUAUUCCGCAAUGGACGAAAGUCUGACGGAGCAACGCCGCGUGAGUGAUGAAGGUCUUCGGAUCGUAAAACUCUGUUGUCAGGGAAGAAAAACUACAGGAGUAACUGCCGGUAUCUUGACGGUACCUGAACAGAAAGCCACGGCUAACUUCGUG
rnacentral:rRNA from 1 species